UACGUAGGGUGCGAGCGUUAAUCGGAAUUACUGGGCGUAAAGCGUGCGCAGGCGGUUCGGAAAGAAAGAUGUGAAAUCCCAGAGCUUAACCUUGGAACUGCACUUUUAACUACCGGGCUAGAGUACGUCAGAGGGGGGUAGAAUUCCACGUGUAGCAGUGAAAUGCGUAGAGAUGUGGAGGAAUACCGAUGGCGAAGGCAGCCCCCUGGGAUGAUACUGACGCUCAUGCACGAAAGCGUGGGGAGCAAACAGG
rnacentral:rRNA from 1 species